AUCUCGUCUGAAUUAUCUGUGCUCAAGGCUGUGAGCAUGGACAUCUCCACGUUCUGGCCACGAACGGGUUUGGGCUGACGUGGUGCUGGUGGACGUGAGGCUUUCUGGUUGUUUCGACAAACACAGAUGAAAAAGAACAGCAGAGCAAUAGCCAGUGGUAUAGCCACACUUGGUACCAGGAUGUACAGGAUUCCCAUACUGUUGCUGCUGCUGCCAUGCUUGGGCAAAUCUGAAGACAAUCAAUACACAAACAUAUUGAGUAAAACAAUGAGUAGUAGCAUAC
rnacentral:lncRNA from 1 species